GAAGUGAUCAUGAAAUUUAGACUGAACUGGAUUUUCCUUCUGAGUAUUUUCCAAGGUGUCCAGUGUGAUGUGCAGCUGGUGGAGUCUGGGGGAGAUGUGAGACAGCCUGGGGGUUCUCUGCAUCUCUCCUGCAAAUGUUCUGGAUUUACUUUCAGCAGCUACUGGAUGACCUGGGUCCGUCAGGCUCCAGGGAAGGGACUGGAAUGGAUUGCAGAAAUUAACAGUGGUGGAAGUAGUACAUAUUACGCAGACUCCGUGAAAGGUCGAUUCACCAUCUCCAGAGAUAAUGGCAACAGCAUGUUAUAUCUACAGAUGAAUUCCCUUAAUACUGGGGAUACAGCUUUGUAUUACUGUGUAAGAGACACAGUGAGGAAAAGGAAUGUGAGACACGACAGAAACUUCCCCUGGAAGGAGAUGAGGUGUCAGUGAGUCCAGAAAGGGGUUUGAGCUCAUGAUGAAUGGAGUAAAAGAUGCCUAAAUCCAGUAA